rnacentral:misc_RNA from 1 species
GUAUUGGUAUUUCGACCUGAAGGUCUACUGUGUUACAUUCUGGUACUUUAAGGUGUGUGUAAAAAGCAUAGGCAAAGGGUUUCCCCUUUGACCUACAAAAGGUGCACAGGUGGGUUGAAAGGCGGAGUGCACAUGCUCCCUUGCGAGAGCCAGCAACAUCCUGAGGAUUCAAUAAUGAUCCUUCCGCAGGUUCACCUACGGAAA